GGUGCUCCGUCGGCUCAGGGUCAACCUGCAACGCCAUUUGGACUCGCUGUCGGCGUCUACUAGGCAGCUGCAGUAGGAGUGGCUGUGCAAAACUGGGUCAUUCGAUUUGGUUAGGGCUUGGAUGUUUAGGCACUUAGGAUAGUGUCAUUGACUACAAAAAAAAUCAAAAUGUUAGUGUGAUUAGUCUGCCGCUUGACAAGAAGUGCUUAAUGUGAUUAGCAUUUGCUGAUUAGUUUUGACCACCUAAGGGCUUGUUCGUUUUGGUGAUAAUCCACAUGUAUUGGGUGGGAUUGAGCCGGUUUAAAUCCAAAACAAGUCAAAAUACAUCUCAAUCCCAUCCAAUACACUCCAAUACACAUGUAAUAUCAAUAACCGAACAAGGCCUAACAAGUGAACUGUGACUCAUGAAAAUGUUUGAAGUAUACUAGUUGGUUCUCUUAAAGAAUAACGACAAUUUGGCAAGUAAUGAAUAUCAGCAAUGCAUUGACCAUGUUUGGCAGCCCUCCUUGGAGUAGCUCCACGAGAAUCACUCGGUCACUCCUCAGCCAAAUAGCAAAAUGACACACUGAUUCUGGUAUAGAGAGGACAAUAAUCACUUCUUGUUUAGGGGCUCAAAAAAUCUGCUACUCACUGUUCUCUGUUCAAUCCCCACCGGAAUCAAUUCGCACUGCAUUCCCCAUCAGAAUGGAUUAGAACCACUCCAUUAUAGAACUAAGGAUCUGGAGUUAAAAACAAGGGAGUGGAGCUCUACCAAACAAGUUAUUUUUGUAAUCCUGAACAAUAUAAUCAUUUCGAGUUUCCCAUUCAAGUAUGAAAUUUUGUUCAUUAUCUGUCUCAGUUCUAGCAGUAUUUUGUUUCAAGUACUCUUUUUUAAAAUUGUGGUCUUGAGUCAGCAAUUGUAUUAAUAUAAGGUGUGACAGAAUUUUUUUUGUUUGAAGUAUCUCCCUAAACUGAUGUAGAACAGCCAUUUCAUCUUGGUCAUUUGAUGACAUCUCUCUGAAAUCGAC
rnacentral:lncRNA from 1 species